UACGUAGGUGACAAGCGUUGUCCGGAAUCAUUGGGCGUAAAGCGCGCGUAGGCGGCCCGGUAAGUCCGCUGUGAAAGUCAAAGGCUCAACCUUUGAAUGUCAGCGGAUACUGCCGGGCUAGAGUCCGGAAGAGGCGAGUGGAACUCCAGGUGUAGCGGUGAAAUGCGUAGAUAUCUGGAGGAACACCGGUGGCGAAGGCGGCAUCCUGGACCGAGAUCGACGCUGAGGCGCGAAAGCUAGGGGAGCAAACGGG
rnacentral:rRNA from 1 species